rnacentral:rRNA from 1 species
UACAGAGACUGCGAGCGUUAUUCGGAUUCACUGGGCGUAAAGGGUGCGCAGGCGGCCGAGUGUGUGAGGCGUGAAAGCCCGGGGCUUAACCCCGGAAUUGCACCUCAAACUACACGGCUAGAGCAUUGGAGAGGGUAGCAGAAUUCACGGUGUAGCAGUGAAAUGCGUAGAUAUCGUGAGGAAUACCAGAGGCGAAGGCGGCCACCUGGACAAUUGCUGACGCUCAGGCACGAAAGCGUGGGGAGCAAAAGGG